UUCACGCAUGGGCGUGGCGUGGCUCAGACCCAGCCCUCAGCGCCUGACGUCGCGCCUGUGUCACCCACCGAGGCCCAGCGUGCAGCUUUCGAGGUCUUAGGCUUUCGGUCCUCAGGCGUCCCGAAGGCAAGGCCCCCUGGUCCCCGCUUCCGUGCAGCCACCCCCACCCCUGCCCACCCUGGCCGGAGCCGCGCCCCCGGCUAGCACAGCAGGGGCUAGCACAGCAGGAACAGGACCACGACAAGGUCCACAGCCCUCUCUCCGGCACCUGAAGGACCUUGCGCUGCUCUGGGGAGGCCCGCUGCAGACACUGAACCACCAGCCAGCUGCAUUUGUUGUCCUGGAUGUCCGUGCCGAUCUUGCCUGUCACACUAGGGUCCCCAAAGAGAUCAAGGUAAUCAUCCUGGCAGGGGCAGAAAAGGCAGAGUGGAGAGGCUCCGGAGACAGGAAGCUGUGGCCUGCCCCCACAGGCACCUUCCUACCUGCACCUGGAAGAACUCCCCCAUCUCCAGCAGGAUCUUCCUGGCGCUGGCGUGCUCCUUCUCCCCGUCGAUGCCCGCCUACGGCGGAAAGGGGAGCGACAUGCCUGGCCGCCCGGAUGCAGGACGUCUGGACCGUCCAACCUCUAUCCUCUUAUGCCAGCGGGGCCUCCGGGUGAGGGCCAGCAGAGGCGGGUCAGCCCCAGAGGCCUGCGGACCCCGGGCAACACUCUUCUUCCUAACCCUUCACCAUUUACCACUUCUGCGCGAUGAAAAGGGAAAUGGAGAAGCGAGGUCAGCGCAGGCAGUUAGCCCAGGGUUCUCCACAUCACACCAUGUGACCUCCUCCCCACUCCCAUCCAGACUCGACGGGCUGACUGCUUUCACGUCCCUUGCCUUGGCUAAUGGUCAUAAAAAUCCUGGGGAGGGAACUUUAUCAUCUUACAGCUGAGAGCAGGCUCAGACAGCUUAAGUAACUUGGUCAAGGCCACACAGCCACGCAGUGGGGGCACGAGACUGCCCGAAGACGUCUGCUUUGUGCCCUCUUGUCCAAAAGUCCCAUCGGGGGGCGGCAAGGGUGGGAAGGCUCACUCACCAUGUACAUGGCGGCAGCCACAGGAAGAUAGAACGAGUAGAAAGCGGUCUUAUACUUGACGAUGGACUUGUACCUGGGCAGGGGAGAAGAUACACUGCUCAGAAGGGCAGUGCCCAGCACAGCCCUCCCGGGCCGUCCAGAUGCAGUUCCCACCAUCCCUCACCUCUUUUCAGUGAAUCUGCUGAGAUCCACAUUGCCCUGGGGGGCCGUGAUGAGGUCCAGCGUCUGUCCGAGCUCAGUCUGAUAGGUACUCUGAGGAGGAAGAUGGCCCAUAACCUUGCCUUUCUCCAGGGCUGGGAAACCCUGAAAUCCCGGGACCCACAUCCCACGCCAUGGGCAGUCAGAGAGGCAGCAAGGACAGGGCCCUUGGGGUGCCCGGGGGGCACAGUUGGUUAAGCGUCUGACUCUUGAUCUCGGCUCAGGUCAGGAUCUCACGGUUCGAGCCCUGUAUCACGCCCUG